UAAUGAACACCGGCAAUAUUUUUUUAUACGAAUGAAAUUUUUAAAAUAAACUGAAUAAACUAUCAAAAUAAUGGAAGGUAAUUUACCACUGGUAUUAAAUCAAUCAAAUGCUCUCAUUGUGAAAAAAAUGGGAGCAUUUAAAAGUUGUAUAUUAAAUCAACCACUAUUAUGGCAUAAAUUUGUUAUUCACGAUGGAGCUAGUUUAGAUCGAGAUAAAGUUUUAAAAGUUAUUGUUGAUAAGGCUGAUGAUUUAUUUCCAAUACAAUAUCAAAUUGAAGAUAAAAAUUCUUCGUUUAUUGCUCGUAAUUGUUGUACAGCAAUUGAUGUAUUAUGUAGUCGGAAUUUAGUAUUAGAAUAUCCUGGUGGAUCUCCUAUGAUUAUGAGUAUUUUAUUAAAUAAAGGAAUGCCGACAGAGACAACGUUAAAGAUUCAAGAUGUUUUAAUGCAUGUAUUAAAUAGAAGAUUCACAAAGAAAACGGGAGUUUUAAAUCUGGAAAAUUUAGUUAAAGAUCCAGGUUUAUCAGAUAAAGUAUAUUGUGCUUUAUCCAAUCACAAAAUUUUAUCAUUUGUCCUAUCACUGGCAAGAGGCUUAGGUGUAAAAUGUUUACGAUUAAAUAAUAAUGAAAUUAAGAGUAUUGACGGUUUGGAAGCUGCAUGGGCCCAUCGAACAAUUACAUCCAUUGAUUUACGUAAUAAUCUGAUUGAAAAUAUGGUGAAAUUAUUUCCUUUGAAAAGUAUGAACAUCCAAGAAUUAUGGUUAGAUGGAAAUCCAGUAUGUCAGAAUUACGCAGAGAAUGGAUACGUUUUGGCAAUAAAAGAAAUUUGUCCCAAUAUUGAAAGGCUGGAUGGUCAAGUAUUAGCAACGAAUGGUGUACCAGCGUUUCGACGAAAUUAUUUAGUGAAGUAUGAAGCAUUGGAUUUCGUUGAUCAAUUUCUAGAACAUUAUUUCACUUUAUACGAUUCAAAUAAUCGUAAAUCGUUAGAGGGUUUGUAUUAUCGUGGUGCUUUAUUUUCUUUGACAUGUUCUUUAAUCAUGGGACAAGUUACAACACCGACAGCGAGACUUGACGAAUAUAAAAGAAUUACUCGAAACUUAUUAAAAAUGUCCGAUUAUUCAAAACACGACAAAUAUUUAUUUCAUACGUCGGAAGAAAUUGUUAAAGCAUUAUGUAUGUUACCACCAACUGAACAUGAUCCAUACACGUUUACAGUGGAUCUAUUAUAUUAUUCGAAUGUAACAGCUGUACUCCUAGUAACUGGAGUAUUUCGUGAACAAGUUGAAAAAUUAUCAGAUCCAGAUUCGUUGUAUGGUUUUACACGAACGUUUGUUUUAACAGCGGCCGCUCAUGGUGAAUAUAACAUUAUAAACGAACAAGUACACAUCUUUAAUGCCACCACUGUUCAAGUGCAGCGUGCUUUUAUAGUUAUUAAUGCUACAAGUGGGAUAACUAGCAAAUAAUCUGACAGUCGUGGUGUUGCGGCAUGAGCGUAAGGUUAUGAGACAUUCUUAUGAAGACGAGUGUGGUAGAUGUCGCUACGAGCCGUAGGCGAGUUGCGACAACCACACGAGUCUUCAUAAGAAUGUCUCAUAACCUUAGAGCGAAUGCCGUAAUCACGACUGUCAUAUUUGCUAGUUAUUCCGCAAGUAGCAUUCAAUACUUUUUACAACAAUCGCUCGGGAAGUUGACUUUGAGAGAAAUUUAUCAAUUUGAGAAAUGAUUUAUUUACUUAUUUUAAAUUUAAAUUUUAUUGCAUACAAAUUUUUAUUGCUCGUUCAUUUUAAUUUCAAUUUUUAAUUUUGUUUUUUUGUAUGUAACACUCGCGUUUGACACAAUCAGUGUGGUAACUUUAAUAAAUGAGGGUUAAGAUUGAUUACUUAUUUUUUUUUAGUACAGAUGGCGUGUCAGUAGUACAUACAAUUAUGUAGUCUAUAACCGAACAUGUGCGUUUAUGAAACACCUAUAACCGAACAUGUGCGUUUAUGAAACACAUAUAGUUAAGUAUGCGAUUAUUGUGUAUUUUGAAGGUGACAUACAGCGCUCGAAAAGUCUACUUCCCGAGUGGGCGUUGUAAAAAAUAAAUGUACCU